GGUCCGGUAGUUCAGUUGGUUUAGAAUGCCAGCCUGUCACGCUGGAGGUCGAGGGUUCGAGCCCCUUCCGGAUCGCCA
rnacentral:tRNA from 1 species